UACGUAGGGUGCAAGCGUUGUCCGGAAUUAUUGGGCGUAAAGAGCUCGUAGGCGGUUCGUCGCGUCGGCUGUGAAAACCCGGAGCUCAACUCCGGGCCUGCAGUCGAUACGGGCGGACUUGAGUGUUGCAGGGGAGACUGGAAUUCCUGGUGUAGCGGUGAAAUGCGCAGAUAUCAGGAGGAACACCGGUGGCGAAGGCGGGUCUCUGGGCCGAUACUGACGCUGAGACACGAAAGCGUGGGUAGCAAACAGG
rnacentral:rRNA from 1 species